AAGAGUUCAUAUCGACGGCGGUGUUUGGCACCUCGAUGUCGGCUCAUCACAUCCUGGGGCUGAAGCCGGUCCCAAGGGUAUGGCUGUUCGCCAUUUAAAGUGGUACGCGAGCUGGGUUCAGAACGUCGUGAGACAGUUUGGUCCCUAUCUGCGGUGGGCGUUGGAAAUUUGAGAGGAGCUGCUCCUAGUACGAGAGGACCGGAGUGGACGUACCUCUGGUGUUCCGGUUGUCACGCCAGUGGCACUGCCGGGUAGCCAUGUACGGACGGGAUAACCGCUGAAAGCAUCUAAGCGGGAAGCCUUCCUCAAGAUUAGAUUUCCCUGGACCCGUGAGGUCCCUGAAGGUUUGUUGAAGACUACGACGUUGAUAGGCUGGGUGUGGAAGUGCAGUAAUGCAUGAAGCUUACCAGUACUAAUUGACCGUGAGGCUUGACCAU
rnacentral:rRNA from 1 species